UUAUUGAGCGCCACCAGCUCUCACUGCGCAUGUCCGCUCUCCAACCCGAUCCAGAGAAAUGGUCACCGACACUUCCUUUUUUCUUGGUUUUCCAGGCAGCCGUACAGGAAGGCGGGGAAUUGGCGAACAUAAUCCGGCGCUUUGUGAUUGGUCAAGUGUGGGCGGCCUGAAAUCCGCAGAGAACUUUUCAACAAUUUGCUGAGAUUGACACUGAAUAAGCUCCGCCCCCUGAUCUUUCCGGUUCUCGGCCGAGAACUUCGCUAUAACCCGGAGGAGCGGAACGUGAAAGGGGCGGCGCGAGCCGCAGAGCUGCGCAUGCUCCGUCUCCAGGCGCGGGGCGUGGGUUGCCAGGACCGGCGGCAGCGGCUGCGUGGGGUUCAGCCUCGCGGGCCUGGUGGCGGCGGUGGCCGGGGCGGCGCAGCGGCUGGUGCGCAGGAGUGUGUUUAAAGAACACGUAGGAAAGAUAAGAAGAGGGUAGAGCAGGUGCACUAAGGCGGGUAAG